CAGGAGGGGUCCUGCCCCUGGGGGGGGCACACAGCAGCCCCCGCUCACCUGCAGCCCUUGCUCUUUGGGCACUUGCCUCUUGUGCUCCUCGUCCGCCUUGUUCCCGAUUAGGAUUUUCUGGACGCCAUCGGGUGCGUACUGGGUGGGGGAACAGUGUAAGGACCCCCCAACACACGGCUGGGGAACCCCCAGACCUCCCCUCAGGAACCCCCACCUCAUCCACGUCGCUGGCCCACUUCACGAUGUGCUGCAGGACAGGGAGCCCCCAUACCUGAGCCCGCCGGUAGUACUGCUUGGUGAUGGUCUGGUACCGCUCCUGGCCGGCUGUGUCCCUGCCCAGCGACAGCGGGUUCCAGUGCUGCCACUCACCAGAUCUGUAUCCGCACCUUGAUCCCAUCCACCUCGAUGGUCUUCAUCUUGAAAUCGACACCUGGGAUUGGAAUGGGGUGUGGUGUCCUGGUGUUUCCCUUUCCAGGAGAUGCUGUCACUGGGGGCCCUCUGGUCCUCUCCUCCCUCCUGACCCACCCCAUGCCCCAACAUGGCCUGGUGCUGAUCCCCGCACCCAGUGCCUGGCCUUGCAAGAGGCCUCGGUGCCAGGUGCUGAUCCCGGUGCUCCCAGUUCCCCGGUGCUGUGGCUGUCCAGUUCUCCCAGUUCCCCAGAGCUACGGCUUCUCGGUGCUGUGGCUGCCCAAUGCUCUCACUUCCCGGCUGCAUGCUGCUCCCGGUUCCCCUGUGCCAGAGGUGCCUGGUCCUCCCGGUUCUCCCAUAGCCAGGAUUUCCUGGCUCCCUGAUGCUCCAGGGAACUGGCUCCCUGAUGCUCCUGGUUCCCUGGAGCCGCGGCACUCCAGAGCCCCCGGUUUCCCAGUUUCCCUAUGCUGCACCCGGCUUGUGGAUGCCCACAGUUUUACCGUUUCCCGAUGCCCAUUACUUCCCGGUUCCCCGGUGCUGCAUCUCUCGAUGCUCCUGGUUCCCCGGUGCCCACAGUUUUCCCUCUCCCCAGUGCCCGGUUUUCCCGCUCUCUGGUUACCUGUUUCCCCAUGUUCCUAGUGUUGCAGCUCUCCAGUGCCCACGGUUAACCCUUUCCCGGUGCCCCCGGUUUUCCCGUGCCCACCACUCCCCAGUGCCCCGGUUCCCACGACUCCCUGGUGCCCUGGUUUCCCGUUUCCCCGAUCCCGUGGUUUCUCGGCAGUUCCUCGGCAGUCCCGGUUCCCCGAUGCCCACGGUUUUCCUGUUCCCUGGAUUCCCAUUUCUCGGUUGCUGCGUCUCCCGGUUCUCCAGUUCCCACGGUUUUCCCGCUCCCCCGUUGCCCAUUUUCCCGUUUCCCCGGUGCUGCGGCUGGCUUUCCAGUACUCACGGUUUCUUGUUGCCCACGGCUCCCCAGUUCCCCGUUUUCCCUUUUCCCCGGUAAUGCGGCUCCCAGUGCUCCCGGUUACCCGGUGCUGCGCCUCCCCAUUGCUCCCGAUUCCUUGAUGCUCCCGGUUUCACGUUUCCCCGGUGCCGCGGCUCCCCGUUUCCCCGGCAUAUCCGUUUCCACGGUGCUGCGGCUCCCAGUCUUCCCGGUUGCCCGGUUCCCCGAUGCUCCCGUUUCCCCGGUGCUGCGCCUCCCCAUUGCUCCCGCUUCCCCGAUGCUCCCGGUUCCCCGUUUCCCCGCUCCCGCCGCCGCGGCCGCCGUGCGCUGUCGGUGCCGGUACCGAUGGUGGAGAUGUGGGCGGGGUGGAACUGGUUGUCGGUGAACCGGCAGAGCAGGCAGGUCUUGCCCACGCCCGAGUCCCCGAGCAGCAGCAACCGGAACAGCACGUCGUACUGCUUGGCCAUGGCGGGCCCGGGCCGCCGCCACCGCCGCCACACCGGGGCCGCUCCGGGGCCGCGAGCUGCGCCGCCGCCGCGCCGGGCCGGGCUGGC